rnacentral:sRNA from 1 species
UCGUAGGUACCCCGCAG